rnacentral:rRNA from 1 species
AAGCAACGCGAAGAACCUUACCAAGGUCUUGACAUCCGAUGCUAUUCUAGAGAUAGAAAGUUACUUCGGUACAUCGGUGACAGGUGGUGCAUGGUUGUCGUCAGCUCGUGUCGUGAGAUGUUGGGUUAAGUCCCGCAACGAGCGCAACCCCUAUUGUUAGUUGCCAUCAUUCAGUUGGGCACUCUAGCGAGACUGCCGGUAAUAAACCGGAGGAAGUGGGGAUGACGUCAAAUCAUCAUGCCCCUUAUGACCUGGGCUACACACGUGCUACAAUGGUUGGUACAACGAGUUGCGAGUCGGUGACGGCGAGCUAAUCUCUUAAAGCCAAUCUCAGUUCGGAUUGUAGGCUGCAACUCGCCUACAUGAAGUCGGAAUCGCUAGUAAUCGCGGAUCAGCACGCCGCGGUGAAUACGUUCCCGGGCCUU